ACGUUAAGGCUACAUCUUGAGCAUGUCAUUCAAACCAAACCAAACAAGUUUUACGAUUUAACACAACGAUUACAGAGUGCUGGAUCUCGAAAGGCAACAGCAGAAGAAACAUAUUCUCAUGAAUAUUUGGCAGGCGGAACGCUGACUGUUCGUCGACAGCUAACAUCUACAUAGCGAACGUCACGUAGCGCACUAGCUUUUCAACACCGAUUGAGUAAAGUGACUUGAUUUUGUUUGCGGAAUUAUGGAAAUAUAUACACAUAUUGACAUGCUGUGACAUAAAGUGCUGUUUUGUUGUCAUGCAAGUGCUAAUGCUAUAAGGGUUAGCAGUGACAGAAGCUACAAGUAGCAUAGGCCAGACACAAAGCUUCAACGUGCAUUUGUUGUUCAAUGAUAUAAAAAGGAGACAAAUACAAGACCGAACCGAACAUCAUGACUCGUUAAUGUUGUGUACUCACCUCUGGAAUCACAUAUGAAGUAAAGCUAGCGAGCUAGCUUAGCUAAAGUGCUUCAGUGCGAUUUCUUUUAGCUUUUAGAGGCAUUCGUCGAUGCUACAGGAAUAGAAGCGCCUGAGCGAAAGUCAAGUAUAGAAUAUAACGCUACUGGACUGUUGAAAAGUACUAUCGUUGCUCGUCUUCAGUGUGCAGAGUGCAUUUAAUUUCAAAGCGCAGUAGAGUCAGUCAGUUGACGGGCGGCCAUUUUGCAUCUCAGCACGAAGCGUCUCUAGGCAGGCAGCCUGCUGGAAAACGCUCGCUGACUGGCUGCACCACUAAACCAGAUUUUCGGACGGUUACAACUUUGUAUCGAAACUGAGCAACCGCCCACUGAUAAUAACAGUUCUGGACGCACGCUGUAAAGUGUCGUCGACGUGCAUCCCCGAAAUAGUUUUAGUUGUCGGUAUGGCUCCGAGAAAGAGCAACACAAGGAAGAGGGGAAAUACGUUUCCAGGUGAGGUGGACAGCAGCGAGGUUGCGAAGAAGAAGCGAGUGGGAGUCAAGACAUACAUUGGGGCACACGUCAGCAUUCAAGGUGGAAUAUGGAAUGCAGUGCAGUCCAGUCUAAACGUGGGGGGCACCUGCUUUGCUUUGUUUCUGGGCUCCCAGAGGUCCUGGAAGAGACCUGUUUUGGACCAGGAUGCUGCCGACAAGUUUCGAGAAGUGUGUUCACUUCAGGGGUUUGAUCCCGCUCAUAUUCUUCCUCAUGGAUCCUACCUAAUGAACUGUGGUUCCCCUAAAGAAGAUGUGUUUGAGAAGAGUCAGGCACUGCUAGUCGAUGAGCUGAGCCGCUGUAGCCAUCUGGGUCUCAACUUGUACAACUUCCACCCCGGUUCCUCCCUGGGAUCCAUUUCCGUGGAGCAGUGUGUGGACAAGAUUGCCGCAGCUAUAAACCAUGCUCAUAGCCAAAUCCCAGCUGUGGUCACAGUGCUGGAGAACAUGUGCGGUCAGGGGUCAACAGUGGGUGGCAAAUUCUCAGAGCUGAAAAGCAUCAUCGACAAAGUGAGGGACCAGACCAGGAUGGGAGUGUGUUUGGACACUUGUCACGCCUUCGCUGCAGGAUAUGACCUGUCUAAAGAUGGAGGAGUCAAGGAGAUGCUUGAUGAGUUUGAUACAGUAGUGGGGCUCGACUACCUGAAAGCUCUCCAUCUCAAUGACUCCAAAGUCUCUGAAUGUGUGUAUUUGAAGGUAAACUGGGCUGUAAACUGGACCGCCAUGAAGACAUCGGUAAAGGUCACAUAGGAAUAACUGCUUUUCAAGACAUUGUCAAUGAACCGAGACUUCGCAACAUCCCUCUUAUCCUGGAAACACCUGGACGGCCUGGAUUUGGAGAUGCCGAGCAGAUUGAACUUCUUUAUUCACUUUGUAAGGAUUGACUUCAAGUCUGGGAGCAGUUGGCAGCCAGAGUUUAUGUUGUUCAUGACGUCUGUCUCACAUGCAAGGUCCACAACCGGUCACUAGGUGGCAGAAAGCGUAGACGUUUUUGUUGUGCUGUUGCUUUUGUGUGCACGUCUGUCCAGGGACAUGACAAGUUGGAUUACUCUGUCUCGUCUGCUACCACUUUAAUACGUUGAUGAAAUGUUGACUGGGUGAGAUGUCUUUGUCCAUAUUUCUUUGAAUUGAAAUGGGUACUUAUUAUUUUACUCAAGUCACUAGAUUUGUCUGAGAAGAAAAAGAAAAAGAUGAAUAAAUAUAAGUAGCACACACACACACACACACACAUAUAUAUUAUUUUACAGUUUGCUCAACUUCGAACAGAAACCAAAUUCAAAAUGUAAAAGUUGCUUGUCCUUAUGUGUAAAUACAAAUAAUUCUUGCAAGAUCCCACAAAAUAAAUCAAAAAAUCUGGGAGAGUGAGGAGGAUUACAAACAAAGAUAACUCUUACAAUCAGGCAAUGAUGUAAUUUGGCUGUUACAUCUAUUGAAAUGCAUCAGUGAAGCAAUGAAGAGAAAGUUCCUCUCCUUCUCAAACUUUCCCACAACUCUUGGAACACAAGAGUUGAUGCACCACUAAUAACAAAGGAAGAGCUUUGUUUUCUCCGACCUUGCGCGCAAUCCUGUUUGUACAUGAGACAUUUUGAACCAGGAUAAUUCUACAGUAGCAUUCCCCAGAUAAGUAAGUUAAAGUGUAAAGUUGGUCCAGACUGUGUGUCUGUCGGCGGGGUGUUAACAGAGACAGGAAGUGGAGGUGACUGGCCUAAGAAUGUCUGCACGAAUGUCACGCCCACAGGAAAUGCCUGUCCAGGUCGCUGUAGCCGUGAACAAGAAGGUUAUGAUGAAUGAAUAAGGACGAACACGCAGUUGGGGUUUAGAUAAGCUGAUGCGUGAUGGUUUUCAGAGGGGUUUUGGUGAGCCGGUUGGGUCAGGGCGCAACUUGCCAGAGCUGUUGGAGACUAAACAAUGAAUAAACAUUCCUGAGUGCCAAAUUUAUCAUUUUCUAGGAAGGCAUGCAUGAGAAAAUACUGAUGGGAAAAUUCUUAAUUCUUCAAGAACCCCAAAACGUGAGGAAUGCGCUUGCUUAAGGGUAAUGCCGGCCCGUGUUUGCCAGCGUUGUUCCCCUCACUCUGUCAUUAUUGGGCUGCAAAUAUUUUCCGCUGCACCCUAAAGCCGCUGAUUUAAUUACACAACAUUGUAAGUACUUCCAGAUAUCUCUGGUUUGACUAUUUCAGUCUUUCAAAUGUGAAGCGUUCUGAGUGAUCGUUUCGCUACAGACACUUUUGACUCUUUUGAGAUUUGAGAUUUUUGAAGCGCAUGCAGGUUCAUGGGAAGAAACUGCUUUUAAUAAAUCGGAUAUUAUGACUUCACAUUUGAAUUUUAAAGUGACCAGACAGAAAGGACUCAUUUCAAUGCGGUUUGUUCUCAACUGUCCCCAUCUAAGUGCAGCCGUGCAUAGCCUGAGGCAAAAGACAGAUAAAAGCUCUGUUCUGCAGAUGUCAAUGGACAUUUCCCACCACUAUAUCAGAGUCACUUGUGAGGUUUACAACAGUGCCACCACAGGUACUCAACAAGCACCCACACUGCCAGAACACAAUCUCCACAUUCUUGAACUACACCCUGGAACGAUAAAUUACUGCUGCUUCAAUGUACAAAUUGUCACCAUUGUACAUCCAUGCUCUCAUCCAUGCCACUAAAAGCGUCGCUAUCUGACUCAAUGUCCACCUCCCUUUCAGCCUUUUCAACUGUUCUUUCCUGAGCCUGACAACGGGAUAGCCAUAGGCCAACGCACCAAACUGCGGGCAUGUUAGGUCUGAUCAUGUCCUCAACAGAAGUUGUGUCUGAAUCUGGUGUUCUGUGUCUGUCUAGUCAGAUUUCAGUUAAUUUUCUUGAAGAGUUAGAUAAGGAUUGUGCAUGCAGUGGGAGGAAAAUGCAAAAGACGUGAAUGUGUGGCUCUGCUCUGCCAAUGUGGCUUCGACUGCAGUCUGGAUCCAAAUGUAUCCACCGCUCUCUUGCCACAGUCUGACUGCUGCAUCUGCCAGCAGCUCUGAGUGGAACCCACAUGUGCACACACACACACACGCUUCCACAAGCCUCAACAUUGACUGAUCUAAAGGGUUUAAAAGAAAUAAGAGCUGAAGGACAGGGUGGAGUUUGUUCUGCUCCCUCAGCAAAUCUUUUAUUUUUGCACCUCAGCUGCAGUGAAGGCAUCGUAACUUCUAAUCCAAAAUGUGGUCCAGCGGGGACAAUGGAGAAUGAGCACUUACAUGCUGAGUGCAUUUUAAGAGAUAGUGCCUUGGUCAAGUUGUGUGGGUGUUUAUGUGCAAGGGAUGCUGAAGUCUAAAAAAUAAAAUCUAUAAUAAGGUAAUAGCAAAAAUGGUAGUGAAAGUGUCGUAAUAAAGAUGGGUCUUUCAGUAAUACCUCAUUUUAUCCGGGGGGGGUAGUUGCUUCCCCCACACUAGGAGGCACACCAUAAUCAAGUGAGCAAAGAAAGGAAGAAUGCAAAAGAUAAAAAAAAAUUAUGGGAGAGAAUUAAAUGAGUCACAGACGACUCUCCUUUGCCUGUCUCCACAAGUAACUGGCCUGCUGUAUUCUCCUACAUACACAUACUCAAAUCAACAUUAUUUUAAGAGGCCAGUAGACUGCAUAUGAGUUAUCAAAUUUUGGCUGAUAAACACAAAAAUUGUAAUAAAAAUGCCCUAAAACACAUGGAAAAAAUGAUAUCUUGGCAGGUGACGUUGUCAGGUUUCCAACAAAAGAAAACGCGUUUUAGUUUGAAUUCCUAUUUUGUGGCGACCGUUCAUUGCCAUCAUGCUUUGCCCAGUCUCUC